GCAGACACAUUCCAGCCAAUCAGUAGCAGACCCUCCCUCCCAGACCCUCCCACCUCCUGGACAGCAUCCAUUUUGAAGCUGCAUUCCUAGUGAGCUGUCCAGGAGGUGGGAGGGUCUGGGAGGGAGGGUCUGCUGCUGAUUGGCUGGAAUGUGUCUG
rnacentral:miRNA from 1 species